GUAGUGAACUGCGGAAGGAUCAUUA
rnacentral:rRNA from 1 species